CCUACGGGGGGCAGCAGUGGGGAAUAUUGGACAAUGGGGGCAACCCUGAUCCAGCCAUGCCGCGUGCGUGAAGAAGGCCCUCGGGUUGUAAAGCACUUUCAGUGAGGAAGAACGCCUGGUGGUUAAUACCCAUCAGGAAAGACAUCACUCACAGAAGAAGCACCGGCUAACUCCGUGCCAACAGCCGCGGUAAUACGGAGGGUGCGAGCGUUAAUCGGAAUUACUGGGCGUAAAGCGCGCGUAGGUGGCUUGAUAAGCCGGUUGUGAAAGCCCCGGGCUCAACCUGGGAACGGCAUCCGGAACUGUCAAGCUAGAGUGCAGGAGAGGAAGGUAGAAUUCCCGGUGUAGCGGUGAAAUGCGUAGAGAUCGGGAGGAAUACCAGUGGCGAAGGCGGCCUUCUGGACUGACACUGACACUGAGGUGCGAAAGCGUGGGUAGCAAACAGGAUUAGAUACCCGUGUAGUC
rnacentral:rRNA from 1 species